GUGGAAGAUGUCUUUCCAAAGACAACAAAUGUAAAAGAAGGACAAGAGGGAAAAAAAGAGCCUGAAAAGGAGAAAAUCCCUAAAGAGAAAACUGUGGAAGAUGAGUCUCCAAAGACAACAGAUCUGAAAGGUAAAUAGUGGAAAAUGUACAUAUUUUUUACACAAAAUGUUCAUUUUAAAUCUUCAUAAUUAUAAUUGUUCAAAAAUAUUAAUAAAUUUCACUAAUUAAAAUUACAUAGAUGGACAAAAGCAACACACACAAAAGUCUAAAGUAAUGGAAGAUUCAACUGCAAAAGAGAAAGCACAAAUUGCACCUGAU